CUGGUACUCGUCUCGCUUUCACCUUUGUCAUUUCUCUUCAACAUUAAACUUUGCACCUUUAUCUCGUACAUUUUUGUGUGAUAAUUGCAAUUGUACGAUGUCAAUUAAACAAGAAGUGAACAUAAAGAGUUUGAAUUAUCAUUCCCAAAAUAAUUAUGUAGAUAACCACUACAUCAUCAAUUAGUAACAAGCCCAAAAAGUAUCGUCUAAUUUUCUCGAGUUUAUCACAACCUCAAUCUCAAAUAUUGAAACCUUCUGCACGGAGGCAUCUUUUGUGUCCUCGAUCCAUUUUUCACAAGCUGAUUCACCAUGCUCCACAAUGCACUCGUCUCUCAACUUCUUAACGUCGGGGCAAGCACAACAGAUCUUCUUCUUCGGCUUUGAAUCAGAGGCGGGAGCCACAGUGGCUAAGAUUUGGUCUUUUUGCAAUUGUAAAGAGACAACAGAAGAAGAGUUCUUUUAUUGGCAAUCCACCCAUUGUCAAGGUCCCUAGAUGAUAUAGAAUAUCAGAUACUUCUACAAUACAAAAGGAUAGAGAUUAAUGAAUAAAAUUUAAAUAGAGGCAAGUACAGAAUGGAAUGGCAAACACCCGACAAAAAUUUAGAAUCAACAUGCAAAAGAACAUGAAAUACUUGACUAAAAAGAAGGGCCAAGAGAUAGUACACAUACACCAAGCCACCAAUGACAAUAUCAGAACCAAGCGAAAAUUAUCAAAAGAUCAUAUCUUUUAAAUAUGUAUAAAUCAAGCUUUUGGAUACUCUGAACUACCAGAGUCUUUUAGCUGAUUGUUGCUUGUCCAUGAACAAAGAUGAUGGUUGCCAAAUUUAUGUAGUAUGUAAUCAAAAUUAAGGCUCAAUAUAGUUCGUGAGCCUCUGAUGACAAGAAAAAGAACGAUACCAAGAGGUGAUAGUGCGUUUAAAAUAAAAUCUGCACAGAAAACUGCUGUACUUUCCUUAGGGGAGCCCAAGUUUCUGAAAUUUUGAUUAUAUUGUGGAUGUGCGAAAAGACUUGAAGAGAGAUUUAGAGAACCUGCAACGACGGAAUUGAUUAGGAAGAAAAUGAGAGCACAAUGAUAGAGAUUUAAAUCAAUUGUCAAAAACAUUCAUUUAUUUUAUGUAUAAGAAUUCG
rnacentral:lncRNA from 1 species